rnacentral:rRNA from 1 species
UACGAGAGGCCCAACCAUUAUUCGGAAUUACUGGGCUUAAAGAGUUCGUAGGCGGCAUGGUAAGUAGGGUGUGAAAUCCCUCGGCUCAACCGAGGAAUUGCGCUCUAAACUACCGUGCUAGAGGAAGCUAGAGGUGAGCGGAACUGAUGGUGGAGCGGUGAAAUGCGUUGAUAUCAUCAGGAACACCGGAGGCGAAGGCGGCUCACUGGGGCUUUUCUGACGCUGAGGAACGAAAGCCAGGGUAGCGAACGGG